UUGUUAUAAAAAUUGCUUGUCAUAAUUCUCCCAGUAGAAAUAUUAAUGAGUUUAUUUUUUGGAAGAUUACAAUUUCAAUUGAAGUGGUCUUCAAGUGUCACUACACUUGGCACAGUUUGGCUACUGGUGAAUUCAUUUUCUUGACGUGAUCUUUGACACUAUCACUGGAGGGCACCCUGAGACAAACUAUCCUUCUCAGUUUUAGAUUUUCUGCUCUCCAGAAAGGCAUACACGUGAAAUGAGGAAAGUUGCAGGAGGUGAAGGGUAGUAUCAUUCACAGACUGACUACAAAUAAAUAUUGGGUUCUGCUUCUGCUUGAGGAGGUGUGUGAAAGCCCAAACAGGUAGAUCUCAACACCAGUGCCUUUGUAACAGUGUUAAGGGCUUUCUUUUCCCUGGAGCUGUUUAGUUCUCUUUAGUCACCCACCAGGCAGCUGUCCUGUUCUCCCCUAGAAGUUGUUCUAAGUUAAUCUUCAGCACCAAAUGUUUCACUCUCAGAGGUAAUGAGUGAAAUGUGUAAGGAUAGUGAAAGGAAAUGCUUGACAAUAUCCCUAAAGCCCCCUCUGUCACUGCCCGCCCUCCCUGCUUUGAAUUACUUAUUAGAAACCCAGAAACAUGGGCUUCUUUACCACAAUUUUAAACCCCUAAUUGUAAACAGUAUGUAUGCACCAACACAAUUUGAGUGUUAAAACAUUGUUUUAUGGGAAAUUCAUGUUAUGGCAACAUUUGUUUUUAAAGUGCAAAUUAUUUAGGCAAAAAUGAAAUAUUAAGGAUUUGGGUUUGGCAAUCUUCACAUGACCAUUGAGAAGCUAACAGAAGUCAAUAUCGAACGUCUUGAGGAGGAGACACAUCACAAACAUGUAUUCAGCGCUCCUCCUCCGAGGCCACGCCUACUGCUAUCUUGUGCAACAAGUCCACUCAAUAGUCUUAAUAAUUGUUUUCUGCUUGACAGUUAUCUUACAACAAGACAAAAUUCAACAAGUUUUCCUACCUUCAACUCAUGGCCUUAAAACGAAAGCAUAGACACUUAACUAGAAGCAUGGAGUACAAUCAGAAGCGCAGGAGGGUGAGAGAAUUCAACAGGGCCAGAGCAGACAGCAGAAUGGCAGAUUGACAAAAAACACUGCCGAGGGGAGCAGCUAGCGGCAAGAAAGGUCUGUGCACCAUGUGGGACCCUCCCACAGCGGCCAGGGAUCGGACAGGUGCUCCAGAGGCUGUGCCAGCUUCGCACCCCACGCUCAACUGUUGUGCCACCGGGGAGGCCCUCAAUUGCAUUUCUUAAGCCACAAAACAUUUUAUUAUCUACAUCUCUCUAAUAUGUAUGCAUCCAUACAUUCAUAGUGAAGACAAUACACAAAGCCAGAAGGAGGAAUAUGUACGUUUUCUGCUACAACAUGGUGUCAAUCCAGAUAUUUUGGACAUCAGUGGCAACUCUGUGCCCCACUAUGCAGUUGAUAACGAAAUCAGUUGAUAAUAACUAAGCUACUUUUACACAAAACGAAUAUGGAAGCACAAAACAAGAUCGAAGAACUAUUAGCAGUCAUUGCUUUUCUGCAAAUCAAACAGGAUGAGUAGUGUUCAGACCAAGGCAAGUAAAAUCUCACCCUUAUCAGACAAAUACUGCUAAGAGGUGAAUG